UCUCUAGUGACGAUUUAUCAGCGAAGGAUCCAGCGCCACUUUCAAGCGUGGGCCACCAGACACAACAAUUUCACGCAGACACACCCGCAUUCCCUGCAGAGUGAAUCCGAACCACAAGAUAUUGCUGUCGUCAUGGUAACAAAAAAACCACACUCGCCAUUGGACUGGCACCAAAUGGACAACCACAGUGACGCAUGGCGGCAAACUUGUGGUCGAACAUCUCAUGAGCAUGAACGAAAACUCACAAGAGCAUAUCAAAGUGAAAGGAAAUACGACGCUUUGCUAAGAUAGAACCCAGGAGCAGCAAAUACAAUGAAAGGGGCCUCAAACUUGAACCUUGUGGAACACCAUAACACAGACGGGCAGAGCAACACUGACGGACGGACAGAAUCCAGCAAAGUGUGACAUUGCCGUCCGUGUUGCCGUGGCAUCCCGCGAUCAAAUGAUUUGAUGCAUGAAAGGAGACAUCUGGUGUGAUGUUAAAUCAAGACAGCCACACUUUAAACACAACAAGGCGGGAAAUCAUUAGCCAUAAAGCAAGACAAAGACUGUCUGUAUAAUAGCACAAAGAACUCUUCGCAGAGGAUAAAGAAUAUAUGACAGUCCACCCAGGCACAAGAAGAAGAAGAAGGAGGAGGGUGGUGCCUGUGUUGUGAUUCAGUAAUCCCUUCCAUGCUGUGAGCGCAUGCACAGCUUCACCACACCUGCAGCUUCAAGUCCAAAGGCCACACUCGGAUGACGCAUCGGGAUGUUCCUCGUCAGCCAAAAGAAACGUCCAUUUCAUGAGGUGUUUCAAUGGCAAACCGUUCCAUGACAUGACCUAACAUAUGAAUUGACAAUUUGAAAGAGGAACCGAGUGCACGUCGGGCAAUUUCGGGAUCACCCUCGGCAGUUUCCCAGCCAAAGUCGACUGACUUCCUGCAUAUGUGCGGCAACUGAUUUAGGGGAUUUUGAUUUUGGAGGAGAUUCAUGUGUAUGGAGCUCAAGUGCAGAUCAAGUAGCUCGUAUUGAAGCUUUAAGCUCUUCGCCAGCAUUCAAACCUGUAGAUAAUAUUUCUGGAUUUGAUUGACGCUAGCUUACGUUAGCUAGCUAACUUGCUGUAUUUGCACCACACUGAUGAUUAUCUUUCUGCCAUUUGCUCGCUCUUCAAACGCCAUCUGUGUUUGGGAUCAUCCUAGUUUGUAGUAAUUAGCAUUGCAAGCAAGAUAAUGACAAUGCUGCUGUGUUCAGCAAGAUUAGACAGGUGCUUGUCCACUUGCUUUGACUCGGGCUUUACGGCAAUCAGCCAAGGGGGAGAUUGGAGAGACGACGACCCGUGCUUCUGCUCUGCCUUGUGAAGGACUUUGUGUUAAACUGGAUUACGUGGAAAUGUGAGCUGGCUGAUUUAUAAAUAUUUUCAUUAUGUUGUCGAAUCGUCUUCAAUGCGGCUCCUUGGAGGGAGAUAAGCUAUAAUAAGAAGACGAGCCGGAAACCAAGCUUCGUCUAAAUUGAAAUGCCAAAACGACAAAUUCACGGUCGUGCGCUACACGUUACACGAUAAGAGCGCGAUGACGUCAUGGAGUUUAAUCGCCUUUAUUUCGACGGAGUGCCAACGUGUUGACGUUGUCGAAUUAAAUUGAUCAAAAGUCAUGAAGUCGGCUUCUUGGCUUCUCUGAAAUCAAAACAGAACUGGUCAAACGAGUUGGUUGAAGAACAAAAUGUGUGUUGACAGUAAUAAGGAGCGUGUCUCUUAUCUAAUUUAACAACUCCGCACGCAGUUGGGGUGUGGCAAUAAAACCUGUGAGCGUCGUGGUAUGAAAUUUGCGGUUGAUGUGAAGUGUUCCCCGAGGCUGAUAAGCAGUAACUCACGUCAGGAACUCGUCUCAAAGGUCACGCCGGUGCUUCUAUUGAAUUUGAAGCCAAUCCGACAACAUUUCUUUCCACCACUGAUUUGUUGGUUGAAUCUUGUUUGGAUGUUGUCAAUGAGAAGCAGAUGGAGCUUGUCGAGCUUUUGCAUGUCAGAUAAUACUAAUGAGCCUUUCUUGGAAACAUCACUGGAUUAUUUUUGAGCCACUCUGGCAGAUGUCCGUGACAAAAAUGGUUGGGUUCAGAACAAUAAUCUGGCACACGGCAGUUUGGUAUUAUACGGAUUCAUUUUUUUUUCCUCCCUCACAAGAUUUGAGCAGUCAAGAUGUGGCUCCCAUAGCGGCUAAUGUGCUCCAGCAGUGCUUGACUCGGAGUUCAAGUCUUCCUUUGAUCCCUAUAAAUGUCCGUCCAUCCGUCUCUGGUGUGCGAGUCCCGCAUCUGUUUUUGUGGCCUUGCUGGAUGAGGAGCCGCAAGUGGAAGUUUACGCAGCUGAGCGCACGGCUUUCCCCCCCAAGUCAGAAGAUCUCGCUCACCGCUCCCUGGGAACGGCUUAUGGGCUUUCCGUUUCGACAGAACAAGACUCUGCAAUCACAAACGAGACUUUUAGGCAGCCGGUGGUUUUAUAACACCUUCUGCCGGACAUAUGGAUUCCCUAUUGACCUUUACGUGGCCCCACGGGUCGACAUUGGAAGGGCCCCUAUAUCAGCAUGUGUUCUCAGAAGAGUAGAAUAGAAAUGUGCAGCCAGAUGGAACUUCAUGGAAUUCACCAUUUGGGUGGGUGUUGCAGGAGCCGUUCUGAAUGGCGGCGUCCAAUCAAGCCAUCCGCAGGGUGUGUACAGCAGCCUGCUCCGAUCUCCAGGAAGUCGUUAGCCACCGGUCGCGCUCGGCUCGGCCACGCCUCGUUUCUGUCUACUUCCCUAAAAGUCGUUUGUGCUGACAGAGCGACCGCUCCUCCGAGAGUACUCGGUUUCAACAGCACCCCUCCCCCCCCUUACCCCUGACCCUGUUCUGGCCAUCACUGAGCCCCAGACAUCAAAUUGUGGCUUCCUUCAACAUGCAUGCAAGCAGCUUUUAGUCUUCUUGACCUAGAUGACUCGUUUAUAAUACAUGCGCUGCUCUCUACGAAGUCAAGGGAACGUGUCUUAACAUGACUUACUCUGAGCAAACCACAAUUCCUUGGCCUCAAAGUCCAGCCAUGUGUUUAGUCUGUUGUGAAAAAUGAGACGUCAGCAGCCUCACGCCAUCAACUGUUUCUUUCUUUAUCUCUCUCUUUUCAUCCCCGUAAUAGUGCUUUUAACUUAUUUAUCUAACCGUGCACAUGCUUUGUACCUGCUGUUUGCUUUCACUAGCCGCACUGAGGGACUAAACACACCCAAGUGUGUCUCAGGUGUGUAUUUGUGUGUAGUCUGUUUGCUAAGCAACCGGCGUGUUGUCGAGAUGAGCAAAGCCCAAAACACGCCGGUUGUAUUGUGUUGUCCAUGCAGGUCAGUGCAGAUUUUGGCGAGCAGCAGGAUCAAGCCUUCGUUUAGUAUGUUUUUGUUGUUUUAAAAGUCCAACUGUUCGUUUAAAAGCAGCAGGUGGGAAAAAAAACGUCCCCAAAUUGCUUCUCCUUCCAAAGGGUUCACAUCCAAAUUGUUUGUGUCAGUGUGUGAUUUCUUGGUGGUUUUGGCUCUUCUCAUGGACAAAACACAACAUUAGCUAAAUUAUAUUCAUCACAGAGGAGGAAAAGGAUCAUCAAACUUCCUCUGUGACCUCGUGGUUAGAACAAAGGGGCUGUGUGAGUGUUGAGAGCGCCAUCGUGUGGUCACAGUUCAGGUUACUGACCUUUCAGACAAUUGAGAUAUUGAAAAAAAAAUCUUCAAGUGGGGUAUCGUUAUUAAAUAAUGCUAAUGGUAAAUUCAUGAAAGGGUGAAUGUUGUCCGUCUCGUUUUAUUCAUCGU